rnacentral:rRNA from 1 species
UACGUAGGGCGCAAGCGUUGUCCGGAAUUAUUGGGCGUAAAGAGCUCGUAGGCGGCCAGUUGCGUCCGCUGUGAAAUCCCGGGGCUUAACCCCGGGCGUGCAGUGGAUACGGGCUGGCUGGAGGCAGGCAGGGGAGAACGGAAUUCCCGGUGUAGCGGUGAAAUGCGUAGAUAUGUGGAAGAAUACCGGUGGUGAAGACGGUUUUCUGUACUAAACCUGACGCUGAGGCGCGAAAGCUAGGGGAGCAAACAGG